rnacentral:rRNA from 1 species
AAUCUGUGGAAAGAGGAUUCGUCCAAUUGAAGCAGAGGACAGUGGCGGACGGGUGAGUAACGCGUGAGGAACCUGCCUUUCAGAGGGGGACAACAGUUGGAAACGACUGCUAAUACCGCAUAACACAUAGGUGUCGCAUGGCACUUAUGUCAAAGAUUUAUCGCUGAAAGAUGGCCUCGCGUCUGAUUAGCUAGUUGGUGAGGUAACGGCCCACCAAGGCGACGAUCAGUAGCCGGACUGAGAGGUUGAACGGCCACAUUGGGACUGAGAUACGGCCCAGACUCCUACGGGAGGCAGCAGUGGGGAAUAUUGGGCAAUGGGCGCAAGCCUGACCCAGCAACGCCGCGUGAAGGAAGAAGGCUUUCGGGUUGUAAACUUCUUUUGUCAGGGACGAGUAGAAGACGGUACCUGACGAAUAAGCCACGGCUAACUACGUGCCAGCAGCCGCGGUAAUACGUAGGUGGCAAGCGUUGUCCGGAUUUACUGAGUGUAAAGGGCGUGUAGCCGGGAGGGCAAGUCAGAUGUGAAAUCCACGGGCUCAACUCGUGAACUGCAUUUGAAACUACUCUUCUUGAGUAUCGGAGAGGCAAUCGGAAUUCCUAGUGUAGCGGUGAAAUGCGUAGAUAUUAGGAGGAACACCAGUGGCGAAGGCGGAUUGCUGGACGACAACUGACGGUGAGGCGCGAAAGCGUGGGGAGCAAACAGGAUUAGAUACCCUGGUAGUCCACGCUGUAAACGAUGAAUACUAGGUGUGCGGGGACUGACCCCCUGCGUGCCGCAGCUAACGCAAUAAGUAUUCCACCUGGGGAGUACGAUCGCAAG